rnacentral:tRNA from 2 species
GCUCAGGUGGUGAAAUGGUAAACACGCUAGCCUUAGGAGCUAGUGCCGUCAAACGCUUGGGAGUUCAAGUCUCCCCCUGAGCACCU